CCUACGGGAGGCAGCAGUGGGGAAUAUUGCACAAUGGGCGGAAGCCUGAUGCAGCAACGCCGCGUGAAGGAAGACGGGUUUCGGAUUUUAAACUUCUAUUAACAGGGAAGAAAGAGAUGACGAUACCUAAAUAAGAAGCCCCGGCUAACUACGUGCCAGCAGCCGCGGUAAUACGUAGGGGGCAAGCGUUAUCCGGAAUUACUGGGUGUAAAGGGUGAGUAGGCGGCAUGGUAAGCCAGAUGUGAAAGCCUUGGGCUUAACCUGAGGAUUGCAUAUGGAACUAUCUAGCUAGAGUACAGGAGAGGAAAGCGGAAUUCCUAGUGUAGCGGUGAAAUGCGUAGAUAUUAGGAAGAACACCAGUUGCGAAGGCGGCUUUCUGGACUGAAACUGACGCUGAGGCACGAAAGCGUGGGGAGCGAACAGGAUUAGAUACCCGGGUAGUC
rnacentral:rRNA from 1 species